GAGAAACCCGCGACCGCGACCGCCGAACCCACGGCGCCCGCCGCGGGCGACGGCCUAUAUAAACCGCGCGCACAGCACCCUCCUGCUCCCUCAUCCCAGCAUCGCAGCACACACACCGCGCGCCCCGCCGCCGCCAGAGCAGAGUCCGCUUCGCGCUACUAGCAGGUUUCAAGCUCUCUCUCGGCCCCGAUGGCUCCCCGCGCCGCCGCCGCCGCCGUGCUGCUCCUCGCCGUGGCCAUGCUCGCCGCCUGCGCGUCCGCGCAGGAGUUCACCACGGCGCCCUCGUCCGCGCCCGCGCCCGCGCCGGUCGCCGGGGCGGCGUCUGCUCCGGCGGCCUCCGCCGUGGCCGUGGCGUCGUCCGCGCUGGUAUCCCUGCUCGUGGCCGCGCUGAUGCAGUAGGACCAGGCGUGUGACGCCGCUUGUAUUACAUACUAGUAGGAAUACGUAGCUUUCUCUUGCAGAUUUGAGUCGUGCGAGGCCUUGCUGCUAUUCGUUAUUCUUUUUGUACCAUAUAUAUGUAUCUCGUACUAUGUAUACUCUGUGCCUUACAUACAUAUGAAUAAAGUUGGAUGACCUUGUCGUCCUCUCCUAUGAAAAUUUGUUUGUGGGUUCCUUGCAAAUCAAAAGCUUUUGAUACUCACUUCUGCUUCUUCAAGGAUUUUUCUUUUUAACUCCGUCAUGAAUGCAAUAGGAUGGAGGACGGGUUAGUUCGGCCCGAUUUUUUUUAUGAAACAGGAGGAGGAUUCCGUACUGAUUAUAUAUAUAUUGAAAC
rnacentral:lncRNA from 1 species